rnacentral:tRNA from 1 species
UCGGGGGUCGUCUAAGGGCAGGACAGGGGUCUUUGGAACCUCUAAUCUAGGUUCGAAUCCUAGCCCCCGAGCCA